ACAAAUAAGCCAAAUGAAUGCCUAGAAGUGGAAAUGUUAACUAGCGACAUAAGAUCAGAGUACAGCUGUGCCUAAAUGUACCAGGCUUCUGGCCCAGUGAGCAAAGUCUGUGAAAGAUUAAAAAGAGAGAGAGAGAGAGAGAGAGAACGAACUAUAUUGCUUUUCCUAAAUUCAAAGAGUAAACUUUUGCCACAUAAAUUCAGAUUUUCUGGAAUGAGACAUGAGAAAUGAAGAAAGCAAACUUGGAUGAUUUUAAGGAGGAGCAAAUCAUGAAGCUGGAGAAAGGAAUGGAGUUGCAGACAGAAGAGGUGGCAGGAGAAAUUGCCUGUAAGGAAACCCACAUGUGCUUGUAAGGAAAGCAGCCCAGCAGAGCUGGAUGGAGAAAACACCCAAGGUGCCUGAGUUGAAAUCCUACCCUUGCUUUGAUGGAAAUGGAUGGUGCACAUUUAAGUAUAAACAGCAGAAAUGAAGACAGGGAAAGAUGAAGGGCAACAGCAAAGUCAACUGGGAGUCUAAACAUGGGAAAAACUGUCUUCAUGAAGAUGUGAAAUAUAUAAUUAGAAAUGAAUGAAAACUUCUCAUUCAAGCUAUAUAGAUAGAUAGAUAGAUAGAUAGAUAUCUGUUAUAUUAGAUGAAGACACCAAAAACAUGCAUUGGAGAAAAGAUAGCCUCUUCAACAAAUGGUGCUGGCAAAACUGGAAAUCCAUAUGAAACAAAAUGAAAUUAAACCCCUAUCUCUCACCAUGCACAAAACUCAACUCAAAGUGGAUCAAGGACCUAGGAAUUAAACCAGAGACACUGUGCCUAUUAGAAGAAAAAGUAGGCCCUAAUCUUCAUCAUGUGGGAUUAGGCCCCAACUUCCUUAAUAAGACUCCUAUAAUACAAGAAUUAAAAUCAAGAAUCAAUAAAUGAUAUGGAUUCAAACCAAAAAGCUUCUUCUCAGCAAAAGAAACAAUCAGUGAGGUGAAUAGAGAGCCUUUGGAGAAAAUUUUAACCACUCCCACAUCAGAUAAAGAAAUAAUCUCUAGGGUAUAUAAAGAACUCAAAAAGCUAAACACCAAAAAACCAAAUCGCUCAAUCAAUAAAUGAGCCAAGGAACUGAACAGACACCUUUUAGAAGAUGAUAUAUAAUCAAUCAACAAAUAUAUGAAAAAAUGUUCAACAUAUCUUAGCAAUUAGAGAAAUGCAAAUCAAAACUACUCUAAGAUUUCAUCUCACUCCUGUCAGAAUGGCAGCUAUUAAGAAUACAAACAACAAUAAGUGUUGGCAAGGAUGUGGGGAAAAAGGUACACUCAUACAUUGCUGGUGGGACUGCAAAUUGGUGCAGCCAAUAUGGAAAGCAGUAUGGAGAAUCCUUGGAAAACUGGGAAUGGAACCACCAUUUGACCCAGCUAUCCCACUCCUCAGUCUAUACCAAAAUGACUUAAAAACAGCAUACUACAGGGACACAGCCACAUGAAUGUUUAUAGCAGCACAAUUCACAAUAGCUAAACUGUGGAACCAACCUAGAUGCCCUUUAGUAGAUUAGUGGAUAAAGAAAAAUGUGGUACAUAUAUACAAUGGAAUAUUACUCAGCAAUAAAAGAGAAUAAAAUCAUGGCAUUAGCAGGAAAAAUGGAUGGAGUUGGAGAAUAUAUAGCUAAGUGAAGAUACCCAAUUCAAAAAAAAAAUGCCAAAUUUUUUCUCUAAUAUAAGGAGGCUGAUUCAU